rnacentral:misc_RNA from 1 species
GAUGAAGAACGCAGUGAAAUGCGAUAAGUAAUGUGAAUUGCAGAAUUCAGUGAAUCAUCGAAUCUUUGAACGCACAUUGCGCCCGCCAGCAUUCUGGCGGGCAUGCCUGUUCGAGCGUCAUUUCAACCCUCGAGCCCCCCCGGGGGCCUCGGUGUUGGGGGACGGCACACCAGCCGCCCCCGAAAUGCAGUGGCGACCCCGCCGCCCUCCCCUGCGUAGUAGCACACACCUCGCACCGGAGCGCGGAGGCGGUCACGCCGUAAAACGCCCAACUUUCUUAGAGUUGACCUCGGAUCAGGUAGGAAUACCCGCUGAACUUAAGCAUAUCAAUAAGCGGAGGA